CGCUGUCCGUGUCUCUCUGCGCUGCAGUACCGCAGUGCGGCCACUAGAGGGCGGUAGGGAGCGCCGCGCUGUUGUACGCAUGCGCGAUGCUGGGGGGCGGGGAUACGAGAAAUGAAACGCGGCGCUCAGCCAAUCGCGGCGCGAGAAGAGACGAGGCGGAAGUGGAGCGGCCGCUCUGCGCAGCCAGUCUCUAUGGUGCUCGGUCCUCCAGCCCGUAACACGCCUCAUCCAACGGCCACGCAAUGGCCAAUCAGGGGGCUCCAGUAGCCUCCCAGUAGCCAGCCAAUGAUCCCCAGUAGCCACCCAGUACCUUCCCAGUAUCCCCCCAGUAGCCCUCAGUGACCACCCAGUAGCCCCCAGUAGCCCCCCAGUAGCUGAUGGAUUUGGAUGGUGUGAUCCCAUUGGGUGAUGGAUUUGGGUGGUGGGACCCCAUUGGAUCCCAUUGGGUGAUGGGGUUUGGGGUGGUGGGACCCCAUUGGCUGAUGGAUUUGGGUGGUGGGACCCCAUUGGGUGAUGGAUUUGGGUGGUGGGACCCCAUUGCGUGAUGGGGUUUGGGGUGGUGGGACCCCAUUGGGUGAUGGAUUUGAGUUGUGGGACCCCAUUGGCUGAUGGAUUUGGGUGGCGUGAUCCCAUUGGAUCCCAUUGGGUUGAGGAUUCCCCAAUAGCGAUGGGGGGCUCCCAUGGGGUAGCGUGGCCGAGCGGUGUAAGGCGCUGGAUUAAGGCUCCAGUCCCUGCGGGGGCGUGGGUUCGAAUCCCACCGCUGCCACGACGCAUCUUUUGGGGUCCCAUGGGGGGAGCACAGCUGGGGGUGCGCCCCCCCCUCCCCCCAGUUAACAACUCAAUGAUUUUUAAUUGAUUUUAUCCUUUUUUUCAUUAUUUUAUCAGCAAUCUCCCCCCUCCCCCCCCCAAGCCCUUCUUGGUUCCCACAGCCCACAAUNNNNNNNNNNNNNNNNNNNNNNNNNNNNNNNNNNNNNNNNNNNNNNNNNNNNNNNNNNNNNNNCAACCCCCCCCGGUGGCUGGGACCCCCCCUGGGCUCCCCAUUCCCAAGAAAUCCCACUCUAUUGGGGGAACCAUUGGGAUUCAUUGGUGUUUUGGGGGGCAUUUCACGGGGUUCCUCGGAACUUGGUGGGAUUCCAUUGGAUUCCCUGGGAUUUUAUGGGAUUCCAUUGGAUUUCAUGGGGUUCCUUGGGGAUUUCUUGGGAUUCCAUGGGAAUUUCAUAGGAUUCCAUGGGAUUUCACGGAAUUCUAUAGGGAUUCCAUAGGGUUCCUUGAUUUUUUUGGGGAGUUCCUUAGAGAUUUCAUGGGGAUCCUUGGAUUUUGUGGGAUUCAAUGGAUUCAUUCCAUUCAUUCUGUGGGAUUCCAAUGGAUUUCAUUCCAAUGUACCAUUCCUUGGAAUUUCUUGGUGUUUCUUCAAGAUUUUGUAGGGUUCCUUGGCGAUCUCACGGGGUUCCUUGCAGAUUCCAUGGGAUUCCUUGGAGUUUCAUGGGGUUCCGUGGGGUUCCUUAGAAAUUUCAUGGGGUUCCUUGAUAUUCAAAGCAGCUCCUUGGAGAUUUUAUAGGAUUCCUUGGGGAUCUCAAGGGAUUCCUUGGGAUUUCAUGGAAUCUGUUGGAUGUUUUUUGAAGUUCCAUUGGACUUUAUGGGGUUCCUUGGGAUUCCAUGGAAUUUGUUGGACGUUUUAUGGGGUUCCAUUGGAUUUUAUGGGGUU
ensembl:lncRNA